rnacentral:rRNA from 1 species
GUGGGGAAUAUUGGACAAUGGGCGAAAGCCUGAUCCAGCCAUGCCGCGUGUGUGAAGAAGGUCUUCGGAUUGUAAAGCACUUUAAGUUGGGAGGAAGGGCAGUAAGUUAAUACCUUGCUGUUUUGACGUUACCGACAGAAUAAGCACCGGCUAACUUCGUGCCAGCAGCCGCGGUAAUCCGAAGGGUGCAAGCGUUAAUCGGAAUUACUGGGCGUAAAGCGCGCGUAGGUGGUUUUGUAAGUUGGAGGUGAAAUCCCCGGGCUCAACCUGGGAACUGCCACCAAAACUGCAUGACUAGAGUACGAUAGAGGGUAGUGAAAUUUCCUGUGUAGCGGUGAAAUGCGUAGAUAUAGGAAGGAACACCAGUGGCGAAGGCGACUACCUUGACUGAUACUGACACUGAGGUGCGAAAGCGUGGGGAGCAAACAGGAUUAGAUACCCGUGUAGUCC